ensembl:lncRNA
CAUGUGCUGCGGGACAUUCUUGAGAUGACAGACAUGCACACCUACAGGAGCUCAGGGGUGAAGCCCCCCCAUGGCGAAGGAAACGGCCCGAAGAAAGGCCUCAUGCUGGAGGGAGAGGGGCCCGGCAGCUUCCUCAACAAUGGAAGUUCUUGGAAGAUUCUAGGAAGGAUCAGACCUGAGGUGAUUCCCUGUGUUUUUGGAGGGCUUUGGUUUAAAGAUGAGCUUUUGAAACACUCUGGAAUCCUUGUCAGGACGUUUUCUUGCUUCCUACUGAACAGCCUCAGGACACAAGCUUAACAUGCACUGACGUGUGUGUUCAACCCUCCUACAGAUGUUGCAACUUUUGUUCUUAGUGUUCAUAAUAUUAAGUGUGUGAAAUUUAAUGGUUGAC